rnacentral:rRNA from 1 species
UACGUAGGCAGCGAGCGUUGUUCGGAAUUACUGGGCGUAAAGAGUGUGUAGGCGGUGCUCUAAGUUCGGUGUGAAAUCUCCUGCUCAACUGGGAGGGUGCGCCGGAAACUGGAGUGCUUGAGCGUGGGAGAGGAAAGCGGAAUUCCUGGUGUAGCGGUGAAAAUGCGUAGAUAUCAGGAGGAACACCUGUGGUGUAGACGGCUUUUCUGGACCAUGGCUGACGCUGAGACACGAAAAGCGUGGGGGAGCAAACAGG